rnacentral:rRNA from 1 species
AGCAGCCGCGGUAAUUCCAGCUCCAAUAGCGUAUAUUAAAGUUGUUGCAGUUAAAAAGCUCGUAGUUGAAUUUCGGGAUCAAUAUAUCGGUCGUGCCUUCGGUACGUACUGGUAUCAUUGGUUUCUCCUUUCUGACGAACCAUGAUGUCAUUAAUUUGGUGUUAUGGGGAGUUAGGACUGUUACUUUGAAAAAAUUAGAGUGUUUAAAGCAGGCUCACGCUUGAAUACAUUAGCAUGGAAUAAUGAAAUAGGACGUUUGAUUCUAUUUUGUUGGUUUCUAGGAUCGACGUAAUGAUUAAUAGGGAUAGUUGGGGGCAUUAGUAUUCAAUUGUCAGAGGUGAAAUUCUUGGAUUUAUUGAAGACUAACUACUGCGAAAGCAUUUGCCAAGGAUGUUUUCAUUAAUCAAGAACGAAAGUUAGGGGAUCGAAGACGAUCAGAUACCGUCGUAGUCUUAACCAUAAACUAUGCCGACUAGGGAUCGGAUGAUGUUAAUUUUUUAAUGUACUCA